GGAGCAUGCGGAUUAAUUCGAUGCAACGCGAAGAACCUUACCAAGGCUUGACAUGGGCCGGAUCGCCGCAGAGAUGUGGUUUCCCCUUUUGGGGCCGGUUCACAGGUGGUGCAUGGUUGUCGUCAGCUCGUGUCGUGAGAUGUUGGGUUAAGUCCCGCAACGAGCGCAACCCUCGUUCCAUGUUGCCAGCGCGUAAUGGCGGGGACUCAUGGGAGACUGCCGGGGUCAACUCGGAGGAAGGUGGGGACGACGUCAAAUCAUCAUGCCCCUUAUGUCUUGGGCUUCACGCAUGCUACAAUGGCCGGUACAAAGGGUUGCGAUACUGUGAGGUGGAGCUAAUCCCAAAAAGCCGGUCUCAGUUCGGAUUGGGGUCUGCAACUCGACCCCAUGAAGUCGGAGUCGCUAGUAAUCGCAGAUCAGCAACGCUGCGGUGAAUACGUUCCCGGGCCUUGUACACACCGCCCGUCAAGUCACGAAAGUUGGUAACACCCGAAGCCGGUGGCCUAACCCCUUGUGGGAGGGAGCCGUCGAAGGUGGGACUGGCGAUUGGGACUAAUCGUAACAAGUAGCCCCUCC
rnacentral:rRNA from 1 species